rnacentral:misc_RNA from 1 species
GAUGAAGAACGCAGCGAAAUGCGAUACGUAAUGUGAAUUGCAGAAUUCAGUGAAUCAUCGAGUCUUUGAACGCACAUUGCGCCCCCUGGUAUUCCGGGGGGCAUGCCUGUCCGAGCGUCAUUGCUGCCCUCAAGCACGGCUUGUGUGUUGGGCCUCCGUCCUCCUCCCGGGGGACGGGCCCGAAAGGCAGCGGCGGCACCGCGUCCGGUCCUCGAGCGUAUGGGGCUUCGUCACCCGCUCUUGUAGGCCCGGCCGGCGCUUGCCGACACAUCAAUCUUUUUUCCAGGUUGACCUCGGAUCAGGUAGGGAUACCCGCCGAACUUAAGCAUAUCAAUAAGCGGAGGA